CAUUUUAAUGAUGAUCACUGUAAUUUCUUGAUAGGAAGAGUAUGAAACGUACAUGAGUACUAAACACUAAGCUGAGAAAAGC